ACAAUUGUACACCUGGCGGCAUCUACUACCCGGGACCCUCUUUCCACACAGGUAUAAUAUCAUCUCAAUAAAUAAGGUUAUCUCUAACUCAACUUUUAAAUUUAGUUAAUAAAAUUCGCAAAAUAUCACCUACAAUAUUAGAAAGUUAACUGGAAAAUAAAUACAAUAAGAAGCUUGAAUGAAAGAAUGUUGAAGAAAAACUACUUCAUUAAGAAGAUGUGUAUUUUGUUAAAUUUGAAUUGUUAUACCUGAUCCUCCUUUUCUGAAAUUGCAUUGACACUUUCUUUCUCCAUUGAUAGCAACACAACGAACUGAUUCUCUAGGACAACCCAAAAGGGGAAGGAUUUGGAUGCAAUCUUUAUCAACAAAACAUUGAUCCUGAUCAACAGCUAUUGUGUCUGUUCUUGUUGUCUUUGAAGGUGAAACACCUGAAAUCUUACAUCUAUACUUUUAAAACUUGUGAAUAUCACUAAUAUAUA
rnacentral:lncRNA from 1 species